UCGGCUCGUGAGCUAUCGCCUCAUCCCUAAUUAUAAGACGCUCUGACGUCAGAGAACAUCUCUGACCAUGUCUAGAACAUUCUAUCAAUAUUCAUUAGUAUUAUUAUUGUGUUAUAACUCAGUAAUACAUAAUCAUGAGUUGUAUUAGAGAAAACAAAAAACCUCAUGUGGCGGCUGUUAUCCUUGCUCGAGGGGCAUCCAAGGGAUUACUUGGUAAUAAUAAUUUUGACGGCAUUGCUGUGAAACCUCUCCUCCUUGGAACUCUUGAACCUGCUAUUGCAUGUGGUAAAUUCGACUCCAUUUGGGUCUCCACAGAUGAUGCCGAAAUAGCAGAGGUGGCUCGUUCUGCAGGGCCAAAAGUUCAAGUGUUUGAUCGAUCUGACGAACAUGCCACGGAUGAAGCAUUCUCUGUAGCUGCUAUCAAUGAGUUCCUUGCUAUCCAUAAGGAAGUGGACAUUGUGGGCCUCAUUCAAUGUACAAGUCCCUUUAUUCAAGAGAGUUUCUUGGAGCGAGCCUGCAAUCUCAUUACUUCGGAUCAAUAUGACUCCGUCUUUGCUGCAAUUCGUAAACUAAAGCUUUCGAUUUCAACAUUCGUAAUCCUAAACUCCCAUUCAUAGAUUGACGUUUGGAGCCUAGUUUCGGAUAUAUAUGGUCUUUUCGGGUUCCAAAGAAAUCUUUGUCUGAUGAUGUCUAUACUGCUUUUGAUUGGAGUAGAGAUUGAGACCUACAUGAGCAAAAUGAAUCUCCUCCUCUGAUUGGGAUCUCUGGAUGCCAAGUAAACCAGCUGAUAAAGAAUCACAAAAGCUCAUGAAAAUUUCCCUCAGAUUUUGGGAUAUGGACGAAACAACUUUUGGAGAGUUUGGAGAUAUUUAAUGAGAGCCCAGACUUUUUACCAAAUGACUUCAGGACAGAUAGAAGCUCUUGAACUGAGGUAUGUUGGACUGGUGAACUCAUUAUUCAAGAACUUUUUUAUACUAAAUACGCAGUAGUGUUCAUUACUUCAGUUGCUUAUUUGAUGACAUUAGCCUUUGUUGUAAGACAGUGGGAGACUGAACUAUUGCUUAGCAUAGGAUGCCCAUGAAAAAUUCUAAAGGUAAAGUUUUCUUGGAUUUCGAGGCUAGCCUUAACAUCAAGGCCCCUGCCUUCAGUCGCUUCCAACUUAAAUAGGGCCAAUUUAGGGGAUUUAAUUAGUAUAAAUCACAACGGUAAUAUUUCAAGUUACAACUUAUCAUAAAGCUUGUUAAUGGUUAACCCCUCUUUUUCCUUAAAUAUUUUGAGCUCCAACGCUUCCUGACCCUCGUUUUCGAGCCGGAUUCGUAGGCAACUAGUGGAUGCUCGGCUGGGUCUAGGAAGACUCGGAGGAGAAGAGAGGUAGAGUGGAAGGUUUGGCCAAACUCAAGGCACACCAUCCUUUUUUAGUCUCCCAUAAAAACCUGUUUUUGACGUGUACCCAUGAGAGCUCUACCUCAGUUCCAGUUGCUGAUUAAAUUGACGACCACUUCCUGUCUUUGGUCUACAGACUGGAUAAUUCCUCUUCCAUUUGGAUUCAAGUUCCGGAUUAGGAGAUACAUUGAAACCAGGAAAACUAUGGUAUUGGAUCUUAGGGGUGCUGUCAUAACCUUGACGGCAUCCGGGAGUACAGCACUUGCAUCCCAUCACCUUAAACUUAAGAUUCAAGAUCGGAAUCCUGAAGCUAUAAGUACCUUUCACACUAAUGAACAUAAUGACUAAUUAAUUUGAGAAAUAAGCCGGGUAUUGGAGCCGGUGCACUUUUUAUUCUUCUGUAUGUAGUCCAGAUGGCUAGAAAUAUCCAUGACUUGAAUGCUAAAAACGAGCGUCUGUAUUUUACAAAAACUACGGUUUAUUCAUUUUCUUAUUAGUAGUUCCUAUUUUAAUUUAUAUCUAUAUUACUUAAUGCUAAAUGUAUAACUAUUCUAUUAAUUAAUUAUCUUCAUUAUCCAGUCACUGUUCAUAAGCCACAAUUUUGUUUGGAUUAAUUGAAUAUUAAUUUUAUUUUGGUAAAAUUUUUGGUUAUUAUUUUUUAAAGAUGUUGAUACUUUUCACCUAGAAAUAAGCAAACAAUAUUAUGUUGACAAACCUCCUGAGAAUGUUUUUUAUUGAUAAUUUUUCAUGAGCAAAUAUUUAUUAAUAAGUAGAAAGGAGUAAUUCCAAGAAAUUAGGCACUGGAUAUUAAUAUAUGUAUAUUUAGUAUAAAUAUGAUGAUUACUUAAUAAUAUUUAUUGUAUAUAUCCAGAAUUACACAGAAUAAAUCUUUUAUUAUAA
rnacentral:misc_RNA from 1 species